GAUGAACGCUGGCGGCAUGCCUAAUACAUGCAAGUCGAACGAGAGGAAGGAAAGCUUGCUUUCCUGAAUCUAGUGGCGAACGGGUGAGUAACACGUAGGUAACCUGCCCAUGUGCCCGGGAUAACUUCUGGAAACGGAUGCUAAAACAGGCUAGGUAGCAGACAAGCAUUUGACUGCGAUUAAAGUGGCUAAGGCCAUGAACAUGGAUGGACCUGCGGUGCAUUAGCUAGUUGGUGAGGUAACGGCCCCCCAAGGCGAAGAUGCAUAGCCGGCCUGAGAGGGCGGACGGCCACAUUGGGACUGAGACACGGCCCAAACUCCUACGGGGGGCAGCAGUAGGGAAUUUUCGUCAAUGGGGGGAACCCUGAACGAGCAAUGCCGCGUGAGUGAGGAAGGUCUUCGGAUCGUAAAGCUCUGUUGUAAGAGAAAAACGGCACUCAUAGGGAAUGAUGAGUGAGUGAUGGUAUCUUACCAGAAAGUCACGGCUAACUACGUGCCAGCCGCCGCCGUAACAC
rnacentral:rRNA from 1 species